rnacentral:rRNA from 1 species
GACAGAGGGGGCAAGCGUUGCUCGGAAUUACUGGGCGUAAAGGGCGCGUAGGCGGAAUGGCAAGUCGGUCGUGAAAUCCUUCGGCUCAACCGAAGAACGUCGAUCGAAACUGCCGUUCUUGGGGAUUGCAGAGGAGACUGGAAUUCCCGGUGUAGCGGUGAAAUGUGUAGAGAUCGGGAGGAACACCGGUGGCGAAGGCGGGUCUCUGGGCAAUUCCUGACGCUGAGGCGCGAAAGCGUGGGGAGCAAACGGG